UCUUUCAGUACCUCCAUGAGCCCGUCGCUUUGACAAACACAAACAGAGUUGUUUUCUACAGAGUACCUCUAUGAGCCCGUCACUUUGACAAACACAGAGUUGUCUUUUACAGAGCACCUCCAUAAGCCAGUCGCUUUGACAAACACAGAGUUUUCUUCUACAGAGUACCUCCAUGAGCCAGUCACUUUGUCAAACACAAACAGAGCUGUCUUCUACAGAGUACCUUCAUGAGUCCGUUACUUUGACAAACACAAACAGAGUUGUCUUCUACAGAGUACCCCAAUGAGCUAAAUGCUUCGACAAACACAGAGUUGUCUUCUACAGAGUAUCUCAAUGAGCUCGUCACGUUGACAAACACAAACAGAGCUGUCUUCUACAGAGUACCCCAAUGAGCUAAAUGCUUCGACAAACACAGAGUUGUCUUCUACAGAGCACCUCCAUAAGCCAGUUGCUUUGACAAACACAAACAGAGCUGUCUUCUACAGAGGAAAUAACAGGUGAAUCUGGACAGAAAUCCAGGAAACCAGACAGUGAUGGUGGUGAUCGCUCUAGCACCG